ensembl:lncRNA SLC44A3-AS1 SLC44A3 antisense RNA 1
GCGCCUGGCCCGGCGACUGCGGGCGCUGCGGUCCACUGGGUCCGCCUCUUCCCGGCAUGGGUUUCUGCCCAGCUCACCCGCUGUCAGCUGGGGUCCUGCUCUGGUGGGAGGAAGAGGCUCAGACGCUUCCCUGCCCUCUCGCCUCAACCACCUCGAGGCAGCGGCUCCCAGGAUGUGCACUUUGACGACUAAAGCUGAGCCGGCGCCGCCACGACCUUGGGCGGGUGGUCGGCCUCUGCCCUGAGCAGGAAGUAGAAAGUCUCAGCAGACCCUUCCUGAGGGCCGAGCAACAGUGUAGUGGCGUAUUCCACAUAGCAAACAGGUGAAUUCCUUGGAAGAUGAGGGCCAAGUCUUAUUCUUCUCAGUCUCUUCUGCAUCUAGCAGAAGAAUAAUGGUUGCACAGAAAAUCUUGGUUCAGUGGUUGAGUGAAUGAAUGGAUGAACAGGCUCUUGCACACAAAGAAGAGACAUGAUGUAUUUGCAUCCUUCCCUGCUUCAGCCAGUUUUCUGAAGCUCAGAGGGACACCUUGUAUUGCUGGAUGAUAAAAACAGGAGCAAAGUGAUGAAGUGCUGACAAGGCAACAAUAGAACAUGAGAGAUUCACUGCUGUGUAGGAAGAGAUCUUCGGUGACCAUGUAGCCUGAAGCUCUCAUUUUGUCAUCGAGGGACACCAAAACUCAGAACAGAUAGAGUCUUGCUCUGUGACCCAGGCUUGUGUGCAGCGGUACGAUAUUGGCUCACUGCGACCUCCACCUCCCAGGUUCAAGCAAUUCUCCUGCCUCAGCCUCCCAAGUAGCUGGGAUUACAGAUGAGGUCUCCAAGGGACCAGAUGGAGAACAGAUGCAACCACACUGAAGUCAGAAUCGCAGCUUGCCUCCGACACCUGACGCUUCACUGUUGGCGAGGCCCACUAUGCCUCGCUCUCCCCCUGUAAUGAGUUCUAUCCCAGAGGCUCCUAUACCCUUUAGAAAUAAACUGCUCAGGCAGCCCAACCAGUUCAUCCAAGAGGCCUGGAACCACAGCAGCGUCGACAGCUGAGAUGAGAGUUGGUCCCUGAUCUGAUACAGAGCCUGGGUUUAGCUUUGAUUUCUCUCUUCCUAGGCAAGAUCUUUAGAGAAUAACUUUUUGUGCCUGGCCAUCUCCUGCUCUUUUCUCAACCCAAAAGGGCUAUGUUCACCUAAAGAGGAAAAGCAAGAAGGCUUCCUGGGCUCGGGAGGUCAGGGCUGGAAAGAACUGCUCACCAUUUCUGAGCCGAUGAGGACUCACCUGGGCUCCUCACUGGUCAGGGAACUGUGGCCCAGCCGCAGAGUGAUUGCUUUGUCAAGAAGGGAAACAUUUACCUUUCCUUCUUCCCUCUGCUCUCUCCUAAUUAACAAUUAAAUGGAAGGAGUUGAAAAGACAUGUCAGAGACUUCAAUCUCCUCCCGGCCUGAGGAUGAAGGGGGCUCGAACCUGAAUGUUCUCUUCGCUGUGGCCAGAACCUAGGGGGCUGGGGUUGCUGCCAGCUCGACUGGAGGCCUGCUUCCAGCCCCAGGCUGUGGUGAGGGGCCUCACAGAUUUCACAAACAGGAGGGCGGCUGACCAAGCGCCAAACUAUUUAGACAAACACACACCCUCCCUUCCCGCCAGAGUUUGGGCUGAUUUCUCCCAAUGCUAAUGAACAGCUCAUAAGUAUUAAUAGACUCCUUGGCACCUAGGAGUCAGGCAGAGUAACUUCCAGUGUGAAUUUUGGCCAAGGACCCUGAUGCAGCCUCAGGAUCUUCCAAGCCCCUGUUGAGUCCAGGGGGCAUGAGACACACAGGGAGGCUGGGGCUGCUCCCAGGAAGCAGGCUCACAAGAGCCAGACAGGCUCCCACAGACAGCUUUUAGGUCACAGAAACCUCUGCCUGCCAGGUAGGCAUGAACACAGAAACCCUCCCAAAUCCUCAGACUGUGGAGCACACUCCAGGUGAGCCAGGAUCAAUCCCUGGUCUCAGAGAACACUUAGAUGGGGGUGAAAAGCAGGAACUGAGAGCUUCCCACCCAGCACCUGUCCCUGCUACCAGCUAAACCUGUGUCGGUCAGUGCAGGAAUUGUACAGGUGAUGCUCUGAGCCUGUGCUGAGGCCAUGUAUGGACUGAGGAAACCUCACUGUGUGUAUGUAAAGUUAAUUCAAACCUAUUUCCCUGAGUGCUUACAUAUUUUCAUAAGGAAAGUUCUGUUAGGAGAGCUGCCUGAAACAACACCUCUGCCUGUGCUCCCACUUUCUCCCGCUGGUGUGGGGAGGAGAGGCUGACAUCGCUGGGUCCACGUUCCUCUGCCCUGGGUGGGGUAUUAAUGCUGCCAUUCCCACGCUGCCUGCUGUUUCCCCUCAUCCUCAGGAGGGCUGGUCUCUGUGCUGCAGGCAGCUCCACCAGGCCUGGGAGCAUGACACCGUCUGCCAAUGCCUUGCCCAGGUCCACUGGCCUCACCCUUCCGCAGGCCUGCGCCUUCUGUGACUCUCUGCCUCAGCAAUUUCUCUGGAUUUCUUUGUCCUCAGGAAUGUGCUGGGGCCACAGGCAGGUCAGGCCAGGCUUUCUGGGGAGUGAAUGCUCUCUGCCAGUGGCGGAUGGAACUGGUAGACACGUCCCCCGGAUUCCUCGCCUGCAAGUGGGAUGGUGCCAGGAAAGUUCUACACCAUCCUUCCCAGGUCCCAGGAGGACAAGCACAGUUGUCCACAAGUGUGGAUCAGUGUUAAAAGUGCUUCAUGGAGAAAUGGAGGCCUGAAAGCGACUCUGAAGGAGGAGUGGGGCUCAGCAAACAGCAGACGAGUUUCAAUCCAAGCACCCAUUACCCCCCUAACACACGGCAUACGUGCAUCUCAUCUCCUCCUGUGUCGCUAAGAAGCUACCCAUAUGUCUGUCAUUAAUUCUCCAGAAUCCUUGGACACACCCCUCUGCAGAGCUUUCUAACAGGAAAUACAAGUCUCAGAUUUUUUUUUAAGUUAAAAUUGAGUGCAGCACUCAUACCUUUCUUCGAGCAUGAACCGUCAAUCAACACUGCCUCAUGAGCUACUGCUCUCCUGCUCUUUGAAAAGACAAAUCCUUAUUUCUUUGUAGUGAUCCAGAAGGCAGUGGGAAGAAUGACAGGUGCUUGGUUAUCUUCAAUUUAAUCUCUACCUUUCAAUGGGGCUAGUGCAAGCUAGGGCCAUUUUACUGCACCCAAAGGAAUUUAAGACAUUUCUAUUAUCUCUAAAGAAUCCAGAUUAACAUGCCUUCUUGGUGGGCAGGGAGACCAGCUAUGAAUUCUAGGAUCUCAAUUCAAAUGCUUUUGAAUUCUUCCUGCUUGUUCAGUUAAUUACAUAUAUGUCACCACAAUCUUGCUUUUUUUUUUCUAUGCUUCUAAUUUUCUCUGAAACUAUAACAUUAUUUUAGGGGUUAAUAAAUUUGUAAUUGGAAAAAAUGUUUUUACUUCUUUAGGCUCAUCUUUCCUCCCUUCCUUCUUCCCCUCCCCAACAAAACCUUUAUUUUCUCAAGUGUCCAUUCUUUCUGUAGGAAAAACCAUCAUCAUAAUUACAAUAUGUUAAGUGACUACUAUAUGCCAGGAAUUAGCUCAAUUCUUCACUUAUUUUAUUUUACAUAAUCCUUUCCAAAACCCCCUGUCAUAAGUAAUAUUAUUAUUCCUACUAUAUAGCUGAGACUCCUGAGGAUAAGAGAGGUCAAGUAAUUUGUCCACUGCAUUAGGUGGGUAGAGCUAGGACUUUAAUCCAGAACACCAAUGACUGUUCUCUUCUUCACCAUUACACUACUUUUUUCAAAUUUCUAGAGACCUUCAUGAAUUCUUUGCAUUUUGUUUUUUGGUAGUAUAAAUAUUGAUAUUCCCAAAGGCCAAGUAACUGCUCUUAAUAAACAAUUGCAGCCAAGCGUGGUAGCUCAUGCCUGUAAUCCCAGUACUUUGGGAGGCUGAGGCGGGUGGAUCACAAGGUCAGGAGUUCGAGACCAGCCUGGCCAAUAUGGUGAAAGCCCGUCUCUACCAAAAAAUACAAAAAUUAGCCAGGUGUGGUGGUGCACACCUGUAGUCCCAGGUACUCGGAAGGCUGAGGCAGGAGAAUUGCUGGAACCUGGGAGGCGGAGGUUGCAAUGAGCCAAGAGGAUGCCACUGCUGUCCAGCCUGGGCGACAGAGUGAGACUCCGUCUCAAAUUAAUUAAUUAAUUAAUUAAUUAAUUAAAAAAUAAAAAUAAACAAUGACUUCCAUGGAAGCAGUUAUAAGCUGCCUUGAAGCAACUGCCCACAGUGGUUUUCUGACCUAGGUGAACUUGAAAAUGGAAUGAUCAGCUAUUGGCUGCACGGUUUUGUUCUUUUCAGAAACAAGGGAAAGGACAAUGUGACUUUGCAAAUAUUUAGGGUACUACAACUUAAUAUUCUUAGCAUAGCAGAACAGUGCUGGGAAUCCCUGGGUCUUCUACUGAAAUCCCCCUAAAAAUUCCUUAAAAUAUUUUCCCUCAAAAAAAAUAAAACUCAGCUCUGAAAGUUUACAUGUGUUGACUGCCCCAGACAACAGGAAGUGAAACGACUUAGUUGGAAGGAGGCAGGGUCAGGGUGGAGGUGCUGCUGAGUGUGGGAAGUCUGGAGUGCGGAGAAGGCGCCCAGAGAGACUUCCUGGUGAGCUCUUCAGAGGAAGGAGCAAGUGCAAAGGCGAUUGCAGAAGCCAAGGGAUCAUCUUUUCCUCAACAUGCACAGCCAGAAGAAGAAUCUCAGAAGCUGCAUGUGCUCUAAAGAAGAACUGCUGCUCUCUGGGUCUCUUGGGCUCCACACUGCUUCCUAAGUUUCUGAACUUCUGGAACUUUUCCUUCUCAGUGAAUAACUCAAAGCCUUAAUUCUAAUGCAGCAGGUUUAAAGCACUUGCAUGUGAUUUGAUAGGAAAGUCUGGGGUGGAUAGUGGUCAUGAACAACAAUAUCCCAAAGUAUUUGUUAUUUCUGCCUGGCAAUUAUAAAGGAUGAAAGUAGCAUGGUCAUGGCAGAAAUAGAUGGUGGGUUAAGGUUAGAUCAAGUUAGAUCUCAGGUGUUGGCAGUUUCCUAAGCCUUUGAGGUUCCCAUAGCUAACAUCUUCAGAACCAAAGGGGCAAUCUUCUACUGGUUACUGACUAAGAAGAGAAAGCGGAAUCUCUUAGAGGGUAUUUGGUAAUGUAGGGUUAACCAUGGUGUCACGGUUAUCGCAAUGAUUGGGGAGUGUUGCAAACAUCUAGUGAAGAGGGCAGGGAUAUUAAAUGUCCCACAGUGAUGGAACACUUCUGUGCUGUGAAGAACCACUCCAUCUCAAACGUCAGCAGCACCCCUGGGCAGGUCCCUGCCCUCAGUGGUGCUUGACUCUGGACUAGGUCCAGAGAUGUGCACAGCCAAUCUGAGCUUUAUUUUCAGGAGACUUUGCUGAAAAAGGACUGAUGACGUCACCAGCAUCAUCCUCAACAAGUGUCUGUGACAGCCUGUGACGUGGAAGGCAGGGUGCUGCCUAAUGAAAGGCCGCGAAAUGCUUUGAGAAUCAAAUAGACUCUAAUACAACUCCCAGUCUGUUACAAUAUCCAGGAUGCUUGCACUUAACUUAGAAAUGUAAUGUAUCCUCUUGCCUCUUUUUUCUCUCUUAUUCUAUGUAAACAAGGGUUUGCUCUAUGAAGCCAGAAAAAACAAAAUUCUUACAUACAAGUUUCCAUUAGCAGUUCUAUAUCAGUAUCUAUCUUCUCAUACGAUAUGCUUUCAAGACUACAGACUUCUCAAAAUAAUCAAAAGACUGUAGUGUACACUAAAGGUUGACAAGGCUCUGAUCUAAAAUAAUAUUUUGGUCUUGUCAUUUGGAGGGCGUUUUGUGAUGUUUUGACCCUAAAUUUCACAUAUACUAAAGUACACAGAAAAAAUAUUUAAUUCUUAGACAUUCUGAAAUUAUUUUAAAAACUCAAACUAUUUAUUAUGGUCAAACAUGCCAACGGUAACUUGCCCUAAACACAU